rnacentral:lncRNA from 1 species
GAAAGUAAAGAGUUUGUUAUAAUGCUUAAGGUAUGAUUCUAGAUCAUUUACUAGUGAAUCAAAAUCACUAUCUAUACGAUACAAUGAAUGGCUUGUACCAAUGGAAGGGGUUUCUAGAAUAACCCUACAAUACUACAGCUAAUGAUGUGGUGUCUGGUGUCUUAUCGUUGAAGAGGUCAUCUAUUUUCUUUUAUAUGGGUCAAAUGGAUACACUGUGCAUUUGUGCACCUAGCUGUCGUGAUGCUUUUGUCCCUUGUCCUUUUCUUUCAUGUCAUCCUAACCCCUUCAAACAGAGACAUUACCUUUGUAUGGUGUUUCUCUUGAGAUGACCCUAGGUGGAAGUUCCAUAGACAAUGCCAUACUCACCUUUCAUCAUAGAGAAUUUUCUCACGAGAGGUCCCCUCGCUCCGUUCUACAACAUUUGAAGACCUUUACCAAAUACAGAUAGCCCCUGUCAUAUGAAAGUAGGAUGUCAGAGGUUCGAGGGUUAGAAAUCAAAAGUUGGCUGCCUCUUUUUGUUAUCCUAAUACACCUCAUUAACCGAAAAAAAAAAUGUAUCCUCUCUAUGCCUCUCUUUGGGUAAAACCAAUUUUCGCCUCUCUAAUUAAACUCUUUAUUAUUCAAAGAAUCAUCUCUUUCUCUUCUUUCAUUUUUUCUAAAUCUUACUUGCUCAUCCUUUGUUUUCUCUUGGUAGAUUCUAACAGUCCCUUUCCUGGUUAUAGUUGCAAUUAUUUUUUCCAUUAUAAAUGAUAAAGAUGCUUUAUUUUUCCCAUGGAGAAUUGGUCCUUUAGCCCUUUUCUGAAGACCAAUACAUCACAGUAGGAGGAGUGAAAAACUUUUCAUAAUUUGUUGGUCUCUGAUGUAUAAGCCCAUGCUAACACAUUUGAAGCUUUUAACUCUAAAUAAUUACAAAGUCUUGAGCAACUUUAGUCGUUUUUUGAUUAGUUUACUUUGGUUUUGCAGUAAAACUAGAGAAGAAGGAGAACCACAAAUAAAGGAAGCAAAAAGUAUGAAAUCGGAAGCAAAUGAUGAGCUAAGUGUGGCUGACGACAUCUAUGACACGUCGUCAACCUGGUGAUAGGCUGUCAAGAAUGCCGUCAAACUUAAGUAGAAGAGGGGAGUUGCAGGAAGUUUUGUGACGACCUUCAUGACACGCCGUCAAGAUCCUGAUAGGCCAUCACUGUCAUCGUCAACCUUAGGCAGCAGAAGCUGAAGUUGCAGAGAAGUUGACGAUGUCUGUGAUAGGCCGUCAAAAUCAUGAUAGGCCGUCACAAUCGCUGUCAUCUAUUCUGAAGAAAAUAUGAAACUUUAAUUUUAUUUUCUUAUUUAGGGUUAACUAUUUAAAUCCUUGUUUUAGGGUUUUUCUAUGAUGCAUCAAUUAAUUGACAUAUCCUACGAUAUACGACUUUUUCUUCUCUCUCAAAGAAGAAGAUAAAUAUUUUGGUGGUUUGCCUUGUGAUUAAAUUGAAAGAAUACUUUUGAUUUCCUUCAUUAUUGUAAGUCAAUCCUUUCAAUUAUGAAUUCAACUUGUGUGCUUAUUUCCUGCAUCAUGAGUAGCUAAACAC